GAUGAAGAACGGAGCAAAAUGCGAUAAGUAAUGUGAAUUGCAGAAUUCAGUGAAUCAUCGAAUCUUUGAACGCACAUUGCGCCCGCCAGUAUUCUGGCGGGCAUGCCUGUUCGAGCGUCAUUUCAACCCUCAAGCACAGCUUGGUGUUGGGACUCGCGUUAAUUCGCGUUCCCCAAAUUGAUUGGCGGUCACGUCGAGCUUCCAUAGCGUAGUAGUAAAACCCUCGUUACUGGUAAUCGUCGCGGCCACGCCGUUAAACCCCAACUUCUGAAUGUUGACCUCGGAUCAGGCAGGAAUACCCGCUGAACUUAAGCAUAUCAAUAAGCGGAGGA
rnacentral:misc_RNA from 1 species